rnacentral:sRNA from 16 species
ACCAAACCACAGAUCUGUGCCCAGCAAUCCUGUUCGAGCGGUCGACCAUCAUUCGUGGUGGUCUUCGGCUGUGUUUCGGUUGAUUCUGGACAGUUCGACGACCUAUGGAGCCAUCACUAUUUAAAUUUCAUGGUGUCAAUUUCCGGUCGACAGAUCUCAGAUUGAGAUGCAGCGGUCAGGAGUACACUCUGCCUUGAGCUCCCAUUUGGUGAGCUCGGUGAGAUGGCCUGAUAUGCUGAAGACGCCAUAUUCCACCUCCCUUCACCGAUACAUCCCUUUAUGGGAUUAGGCCGUCGGCUGAUGAGGUUAGGGAAAAACCAUGGCAGCCAAC